rnacentral:rRNA from 1 species
GACGAACGCUGGCGGCGUGCCUAAUACAUGCAAGUAGAACGCUGAAGGAGGAGCUUGCUCUUCUGGAUGAGUUGCGAACGGGUGAGUAACGCGUAGGUAACCUGCCUGGUAGCGGGGGAUAACUAUUGGAAACGAUAGCUAAUACCGCAUAAGAGUAGAUGUCGCAUGACAUUUGCUUAAAAGGUGCAAUUGCAUCACUACCAGAUGGACCUGCGUUGUAUUAGCUAGUUGGUGAGGUAACGGCUCACCAAGGCAACGAUACAUAGCCGACCUGAGAGGGUGAUCGGCCACACUGGGACUGAGACACGGCCCAGACUCCUACGGGAGGCAGCAGUAGGGAAUCUUCGGCAAUGGACGGAAGUCUGACCGAGCAACGCCGCGUGAGUGAAGAAGGUUUUCGGAUCGUAAAGCUCUGUUGUAAGAGAAGAACGAGUGUGAGAGUGGA